rnacentral:rRNA from 1 species
UACGUAGGGGGCUAGCGUUGUCCGGAAUCAUUGGGCGUAAAGCGCGCGUAGGCGGCCCGGUAAGUCCGCUGUGAAAGUCAAAGGCUCAACCUUUGAAUGUCAGCGGAUACUGCCGGGCUAGAGUCCGGAAGAGGCGAGUGGAACUCCUGGUGUAGCGGUGGAAUGCGCAGAUAUCAGGAAGAACACCAACGGCGAAGGCAGCUCGCUGGGCCACACCUGACGCUGAGACGCGAAAGCUAGGGGAGCGAACAGG